GUGAGGAAUAUUGCGCAAUGGAGGCAACUCUGACGCAGCCAUGCCGCGUGCAGGAAGAAGGCGCUACGCGUUGUAAACUGCUUUUAACCGGGAAGAAACCCCAGGACGUGUCCUGGGUUGACGGUACCGGAGGAAUAAGCACCGGCUAACUUCGUGCCAGCAGCCGCGGUAAUACGAAGGGUGCAAGCGUUAUCCGGAUUCAUUGGGUUUAAAGGGUGCGUAGGCGGAGCGUUAAGUCAGUGGUGAAAUCCUGCAGCUUAACUGUAGACUUGCCAUUGAUACUGGCGCUCUUGAGUGCGCUUGAAGUGGGCGGAAUGUGCCGUGUAGCGGUGAAAUGCUUAGAUAUGGCACAGAACACCAAUUGCGAAAGCAGCUCACUAAGGCGAUACUGACGCUGAGGCACGAAAGCGUGGGGAUCGAACAGGAUUAGAUACCCUUGUAGUCC
rnacentral:rRNA from 1 species